CACUGUUCUUCAAAGAUCAAGCCCAAAAGCCCCUUUGAAGAUCCGCUCAAAUCCACCUUCAAGAUCAAGUCCACGGCCCUUGAAGAACGUUCAUCCUUAGAUCAAGCCCAACGGCCCUUUGGAUCAAUCACACAUCCACAAAUACACACCUUACGGAGAUCGAAUCAGAGGAUCAAAUUUGAGAGAGAUUGUAACCCAA
rnacentral:lncRNA from 1 species